UACAGAGGGGGCAAGCGUUAUUCGGAAUUAUUGGGCGUAAAGGGCGCGUAGGCGGCCUGGCAAGUGACGGGUGAAAUCCCUCGGCUUAACCGAGGAACUGCCUGUCAGACUGCUUGGCUCGAGACCGGGAGAGGUGAGUGGAAUUCCCAGUGUAGCGGUGAAAUGCGUAGAUAUUGGGAGGAACACCAGUGGCGAAGGCGGCUCACUGGACCGGAACUGACGCUGAGGCGCGAAAGCGUGGGGAGCAAACAGG
rnacentral:rRNA from 1 species